ensembl:lncRNA
GCUCUGGAAAAAACCCUGGGAGCGAGGGCCUUCGCCAAGCAGCCGCAGCAGCUGACGGCCACGAAGGUCCUGCAGAGGAACUGAGCCGCCUACCUCAAGCUGCACAAGCAGUGGUGGCGACUCUUCACCAAGGAAUGAUGAGAACGGCAGACAACUCAGGGAGGUUUUAAAAGAGGAAAAGAGAUGAUGCCAACAUGGUGAGCCCAGAAAACAGCAUUUCCUGUUGACUGAGCAUCUACUGUUCACCAAGCCCAGUCCCUGCCUUGUCUCACUCAUCCUCUCAGUGACUCUACAGGCUACUCACUCUUUCUAUGAGCAAGGAAACCAAGUCACAGCAAAACCUGGGGUAGCCUAAAAGGGCUGCAUGAUGGCAAAUUCUCUCCCUACUCAUGGAAGAUGCGGAGUCAUGGACGCAGCCGAAUGGGGCCCAGAGGCUCUGUGACGAAAGAGUUCAGGCAGCUUUCCCCCUGAGGUGGGGCUGUUCCAGGAGCGAGUUAACACUUGGAGCCAGUUGCAGUGGGUCCCCAUGGGCCCGGUCGGACCCAUCUCCCAGUGCCCACUAGGGCCUCUGGCAGCUGGGCUCACUUCUUAGGCCAAGUGGUAUUUGACAUUGUGACUCAUCUCAAGCUAUUGUGGAAGAAAAUUACAUUUUUAGACUAUUCAAGGAUUUAAAGAUUUCUCUUCCUCUAAGGAAAUGGCAUAAUUCAGAAAACAAACCAAAACAAGAGGCAGGGAGACCCGCCCAGAUUCCCCACUUGAGGGGCAAGUCUGAACCUUAGUUUUCCCUUGUGACUCAGGGAUAAUAAAUGUUGUCAUCAGAGGGCUGUGGUAGCUUACACAACAAUGUGUGUGAAAGUGCUUUGCAGAUUGUAAAGGGUUCA